rnacentral:rRNA from 1 species
CAGCCGCCGCGGGAAAACAGAGGGUGCGAGCGUUAAUCGGAUUUACUGGGCGUAAAGCGUGCGUAGGCGGCUUUUUAAGUCGGAUGUGAAAUCCCUGAGCUUAACUUAGGAAUUGCAUUCGAUACUGGGAAGCUAGAGUAUGGGAGAGGAUGGUAGAAUUCCAGGUGUAGCGGUGAAAUGCGUAGAGAUCUGGAGGAAUACCGAUGGCGAAGGCAGCCAUCUGGCCUAAUACUGACGCUGAGGUACGAAAGCAUGGGGAGCAAACAGGAUUAGAUACCCCUGUAGUCCCUGUCUCUUAUAC